rnacentral:piRNA from 1 species
UGAUAUCUGCCACAAAGCUGUCCCCUAGGU